AUACGGAGGGUGCAAGCGUUAAUCGGAAUUACUGGGCGUAAAGCGCACGCAGGCGGUCUGUCAAGUCGGAUGUGAAAUCCCCGGGCUCAACCUGGGAACUGCAUUCGAAACUGGCAGGCUAGAGUCUUGUAGAGGGGGGUAGAAUUCCAGGUGUAGCGGUGAAAUGCGUAGAGAUCUGGAGGAAUACCGGUGGCGAAGGCGGCCCCCUGGACAAAGACUGACGCUCAGGUGCGAAAGCGUGGGGAGCAAACAGGAUUAGAUACCCUGGUAGUCCACGCCGUAAACGAUGUCGAUUUGGAGGUUGUGCCCUUGAGGCGUGGCUUCCGGAGCUAACGCGUUAAAUCGACCGCCUGGGGAGUACGGCCGCAAGGUUAAAACUCAAAUGAAUUGACGGGGGCCCGCACAAGCGGUGGAGCAUGUGGUUUAAUUCGAUGCAACGCGAAGAACCUUACCUGGUCUUGACAUCCACAGAACUUUCCAGAGAUGGAUUGGUGCCUUCGGGAACUGUGAGACAGGUGCUGCAUGGCUGUCGUCAGCUCGUGUUGUGAAAUGUUGGGUUAAGUCCCGCAACGAGCGCAACCCUUAUCCUUUGUUGCCAGCGGUCCGGCCGGGAACUCAAAGGAGACUGCCAGUGAUAAACUGGAGGAAGGUGGGGAUGACGUCAAGUCAUCAUGGCCCUUACGACCAGGGCUACACACGUGCUACAAUGGCAUAUACAAAGAGAAGCGACCUCGCGAGAGCAAGCGGACCUCAUAAAGUAUGUCGUAGUCCGGAUUGGAGUCUGCAACUCGACUCCAUGAAGUCGGAAUCGCUAGUAAUCGUAGAUCAGAAUGCUACGGUGAAUACGUUCCCGGGCCUUGUACACACCGCCCGUCACACCAUGGGAGUGGGUUGCAAAAGAAGUAGGUAGCUUAACCUUCGGGAGGGCGCUUACCACUUUGUGAUUC
rnacentral:rRNA from 1 species